GUGCUCAGUGGUGGAGCAUCUGCUUUUCAUGCAGAAGCUCCUUGGUUCAAUCCUCAGCAUUUCCAAGGAGAGCCA